AGCCUUCUCGGUGGGAGAGGAUGAACUGCCAUGUCUAAGAGAAAGACUUGCCCCCGAAUUUGUAGGUCUGUAACUGACCAAGUUUUGUAAUUAUUAACAGGUAUUUGCCAAGUCCUAAUUGCUGAAUAUAAUGAAUUGGAACUAGAUGCGAAAAUAGAGCAGGACCUCUCCCCUUGAUGAGUUUUUAUUCCAGCCAUAUAAUUCUCAAUAAAACUUUUCCUGGGCUGGAUAGCAAAGGACACCUUUGGUUACCUGAAUGAACAGGUACAGGGGAAAUUAUUUGGGGGAGGGAAAAAGGAGAGAAAAGCAAGGAGAGAGAGUGUGAGUGUAAGAGAAAGCGAAGAAGCCACUCUUGAGAAAAGCUUGCCAUAAAGGAGCUAAACCCACCUGAAAUUCCUACCCACGGACACCCCUUCUCACUUCAGACUCACAUCCCCACUCAAAAUGAGAAAAUUAGAAAAGGAGGAUGGAGGACGAGCACACCAAAAAGGGAUAAAAAGAGAGAAAAGGGGAGGAAAAAAAACCUACCUGCGAAGUCUUGUUUGUAGUUUUGGCCAGAAAUGGUGAGAAGAAAAAGCAUGAAGAAGCCGCGAAGUGUGGGGGAGAAAAAGGUGGAAGCGAAGAAACAGCUCCCGGAGCAAACUGUACAAAAACCUCGCCAAGAGUGUCGGGAGGCAGGACCGUUAUUCCUGCAGAGCAGGAGAGAGACGAGAGACCCUGAAACACGCGCCACCUAUCUUUGUGGGGAGGGAUAAUUGAAGCGCCCUGAGCGUACCAGAGCCAGAAAAAAAAAUGCUGCAUGGGAGCUGCAUCUUAGGGCAUGUGUAUUAGGGUGUGUGCAUGAUGAAUUUCUGGACUGGAUCCCAAUAUUAAAAAGUAGUUUGGCAUUUUAAUAA
rnacentral:lncRNA from 1 species